GACGUAGGGUGCAAGCGUUGUCCGGAUUUACUGGGCGUAAAGGGCGCGUAGGCGGCCUGUUAAGUCGAACGUGAAAUCCCCAGGCUCAACCUGGGAACUGCGUCCGAUACUGGCAGGCUUGAAUCCGGGAGAGGGAUGCGGAAUUCCAGGUGUAGCGGUGAAAUGCGUAGAGAUCCGGAGGAACACCAGUGGCGAAGGCGACACGCUGAGCCGUACCUGACACUGAUGCGCGGCAGCAUGGGGAGCAAACAGG
rnacentral:rRNA from 1 species